UACGUAGGGGGCUAGCGUUGUCCGGAUUUAUUGGGCGUAAAGAGCGUGUAGGCGGCCAGGUAGGUCUGCUGUGAAAACUCGAGGCUCAACCUCGAGAUGUCGGCGGAAACCAUCUGGCUAGAGUCCGGAAGAGGAAAGUGGAAUUCCUGGUGUAGCGGUGAAAUGCGUAGAUAUCUGGAGGAAUACCGGUGGCGAAGGCGGCGUUCUGGACCAUUACUGACACUGAACCGCGAAAGCUAGGGGAGCAAACGGG
rnacentral:rRNA from 1 species